GAUGAACGCUGGCGGCGUGCCUAAUACAUGCAAGUCGAGCGAACGGACGAGAAGCUUGCUUCUCUGAUGUUAGCGGCGGACGGGUGAGUAACACGUGGAUAACCUACCUAUAAGACUGGGAUAACUUCGGGAAACCGGAGCUAAUACCGGAUAAUAUUUUGAACCGCAUGGUUCAAAAGUAAAAGACGGUCUUGCUGUCACUUAUAGAUGGAUCCGCGCUGCAUUAGCUAGUUGGUAAGGUAACGGCUUACCAAGGCAACGAUGCAUAGCCGACCUGAGAGGGUGAUCGGCCACACUGGAACUGAGACACGGUCCAGACUCCUACGGGAGGCAGCAGUAGGGAAUCUUCCGCAAUGGGCGAAAGCCUGACGGAGCAACGCCGCGUGAGUGAUGAAGGUCUUCGGAUCGUAAAACUCUGUUAUUAGGGAAGAACAUAUGUGUAAGUAACUGUGCACAUCUUGACGGUACCUAAUCAGAAAGCCACGGCUAACUACGUGCCAGCAGCCGCGGUAAUACGUAGGUGGCAAGCGUUAUCCGGAAUUAUUGGGCGUAAAGCGCGCGUAGGCGGUUUUUUAAGUCUGAUGUGAAAGCCCACGGCUCAACCGUGGAGGGUCAUUGGAAACUGGAAAACUUGAGUGCAGAAGAGGAAAGUGGAAUUCCAUGUGUAGCGGUGAAAUGCGCAGAGAUAUGGAGGAACACCAGUGGCGAAGGCGACUUUCUGGUCUGUAACUGACGCUGAUGUGCGAAGGCGUGGGGAUCAAACAGGAUUAGAUACCCUGGUAGUCCACGCCGUAAACGAUGAGUGCUAAGUGUUAGGGGGUUUCCGCCCCUUAGUGCUGCAGCUAACGCAUUAAGCACUCCGCCUGGGGAGUACGACCGCAAGGUUGAAACUCAAAGGAAUUGACGGGGACCCGCACAAGCGGUGGAGCAUGUGGUUUAAUUCGAAGCAACGCGAAGAACCUUACCAAAUCUUGACAUCCUUUGACAACUCUAGAGAUAGAGCCUUCCCCUUCGGGGGACAAAGUGACAGGUGGUGCAUGGUUGUCGUCAGCUCGUGUCGUGAGAUGUUGGGUUAAGUCCCGCAACGAGCGCAACCCUUAAGCUUAGUUGCCAUCAUUAAGUUGGGCACUCUAAGUUGACUGCCGGUGACAAACCGGAGGAAGGUGGGGAUGACGUCAAAUCAUCAUGCCCCUUAUGAUUUGGGCUACACACGUGCUACAAUGGACAAUACAAAGGGCAGCGAAACCGCGAGGUCAAGCAAAUCCCAUAAAGUUGUUCUCAGUUCGGAUUGUAGUCUGCAACUCGACUACAUGAAGCUGGAAUCGCUAGUAAUCGUAGAUCAGCAUGCUACGGUGAAUACGUUCCCGGGUCU
rnacentral:rRNA from 1 species